rnacentral:rRNA from 1 species
CUACGGGAGGCUGCAGUGGGGAAUAUUGGACAAUGGGGGAAACCCUGAUCCAGCAAUGCCGCGUGUGUGAAGAAGGCCUGCGGGUUGUAAAGCACUUUCGGUUGGGAGGACUGCUUCUAGCACUAAUAUUGUUGGAAGUUGACGUUACCUUCAGAAGAAGCACCGGCUAACUCCGUGCCAGCAGCCGCGGUAAUACGGAGGGUGCAAGCGUUAAUCGGAAUUACUGGGCGUAAAGCGCGCGUAGGCGGCUAGAUCAGUCGGGUGUGAAAGCCCCGGGCUUAACCUGGGAACUGCAUCCGAUACUGUCUAGAUUGAGUACAGGAGAGGAGAGUGGAAUUCCACAUGUAGCGGUGAAAUGCGUAGAUAUGUGGAGGAACACCAAUGGCGAAGGCAGCUCUCUGGCCUGAUACUGACGCUGAGGUGCGAAAGCGUGGGGAUCAUACAGGAUUAGAUACCCGUGUAGUC